ACAUAAUGAAGAUCUCUCUGAGCUUCAGGGUACUGUCCUGUCUCCGUAAGUCAGGGCAUCACUGCUGCUGGCCUGUGGGCCCCUUCCUGUGGACAAGAAGAGCGCAUGCCAUCGCAGCAUCACGGCUCCUUCUUCACCUAUAUGUGGCGUUCCCAGCACCUGCUAUCAAUUCUCUACAGCUGCGCCUGGUGAUCUUACAAAAUUCAUGGCACUGCCGGGCACAGCUGCACACGCCUGGAAUCCCAGCAGGCUGGCAAGCUGAGGUAGGAGGAACUGAAUUCAAGCCGAGCUUGGGCUACUUAGCAACUUAGUGAGAUUCUGUCUCAAAAUAAAAAAAAAUAAUUUUUGAAAGGGCUGAGGAUGUAACUCAUUGUGAAGUUCAUGGGUUCAAUCCACACUACAAAAAAAGAGAGAAAAUCAUAGCAUAAUAUAACUGCUAAAAUAACAGUAGCACAG
rnacentral:lncRNA from 1 species